rnacentral:lncRNA from 1 species
UGUAAUAAAAUUAACGGUAUCAAUUUUCUUGCACCAGAUGCGCAUUUCGACAAUACAUGUCUCUUCAGUGAUGCUCGUGGCCAAAAUAUUUGAAAUCCAAAGCUUAUAUAAAACAUGAAGAGCUAUAAUCCAAAAGGUCCAAAAAGUUUAGCCAAAUCCGUGAAAGGAAUCAGAGCUUUGCAUGAGGGAGAUACAUUCCUUAAUAUAUAACAAUUUCUAUCAUUUUGUAACAGC